UGGCUCAGAGUGAACGCUGGCGGCAGGCCUAAUACAUGCAAGUCGAACGGCAGCACGGCAGAGCUUGCUCUGUGGGUGGCGAGUGGCGGACGGGUGAGGAAUACAUGGGAAUCUGCCCAGUCGUGGGGGAUAACGUAGGGAAACUUACGCUAAUACCGCAUGCGCCCUUCGGGGGAAAGCCGGGGACCUUCGGGCCUGGCGCGAUUGGAUGAGCCCAUGUCGGAUUAGCUAGUUGGCGGGGUAAUGGCCCACCAAGGCGACGAUCCGUAGCUGGUCUGAGAGGAUGAUCAGCCACACUGGAACUGAGACACGGUCCAGACUCCUACGGGAGGCAGCAGUAGGGAAUAUUGGACAAUGGGCGCAAGCCUGAUCCAGCCAUGCCGCGUGAGUGAAGAAGGCCCUCGGGUUGUAAAGCUCUUUUGUCCGGAAAGAAAAGCGCCGGGUUAAUACCCUGGUGUCCUGACGGUACCGGAAGAAUAAGCACCGGCUAACUUCGUG
rnacentral:rRNA from 1 species